rnacentral:rRNA from 1 species
GGGUCACCUCCCACCCGUGUUUAUCGUACCUUGUUGCUUCGGCGGGCCCGCCUCACGGCCGCCGGGGGGCAUCCGCCCCCGGGCCCGCGCCCGCCGAAGACACACAAACGAACUCUUGUCUGAAGAUUGCAGUCUGAGUACUUGACUAAAUCAGUUAAAACUUUCAACAACGGAUCUCUUGGUUCCGGCAUCGAUGAAGAACGCAGCGAAAUGCGAUAAGUAAUGUGAAUUGCAGAAUUCAGUGAAUCAUCGAGUCUUUGAACGCACAUUGCGCCCCCUGGUAUUCCGGGGGGCAUGCCUGUCCGAGCGUCAUUGCUGCCCUCAAGCACGGCUUGUGUGUUGGGCUCUCGCCCCCCGCUUCCGGGGGGCGGGCCCGAAAGGCAGCGGCGGCACCGCGUCCGGUCCUCGAGCGUAUGGGGCUUCGUCACCCGCUCUGUAGGCCCGGCCGGCGCCCGCCGGCGAACACCAUCAAUCUUAACCAGGUUGACCUCGGAUCAGGUAGGGAUACCCGCUGAACUUAAGCAUAUCAAU